UUGAACGCUGGCGGCAGGCCUAACACAUGCAAGUCGAACGGUAACAGGAAGCAGCUUGCUGCUUUGCUGACGAGUGGCGGACGGGUGAGUAAUGUCUGGGAAACUGCCUGAUGGAGGGGGAUAACUACUGGAAACGGUAGCUAAUACCGCAUAACGUCGCAAGACCAAAGAGGGGGACCUUCGGGCCUCUUGCCAUCGGAUGUGCCCAGAUGGGAUUAGCUAGUAGGUGGGGUAACGGCUCACCUAGGCGACGAUCCCUAGCUGGUCUGAGAGGAUGACCAGCCACACUGGAACUGAGACACGGUCCAGACUCCUACGGGAGGCAGCAGUGGGGAAUAUUGCACAAUGGGCGCAAGCCUGAUGCAGCCAUGCCGCGUGUAUGAAGAAGGCCUUCGGGUUGUAAAGUACUUUCAGCGGGGAGGAAGGGAGUAAAGUUAAUACCUUUGCUCAUUGACGUUACCCGCAGAAGAAGCACCGGCUAACUCCGUGCCAGCAGCCGCGGUAAUACGGAGGGUGCAAGCGUUAAUCGGAAUUACUGGGCGUAAAGCGCACGCAGGCGGUUUGUUAAGUCAGAUGUGAAAUCCCCGGGCUCAACCUGGGAACUGCAUCUGAUACUGGCAAGCUUGAGUCUCGUAGAGGGGGGUAGAAUUCCAGGUGUAGCGGUGAAAUGCGUAGAGAUCUGGAGGAAUACCGGUGGCGAAGGCGGCCCCCUGGACGAAGACUGACGCUCAGGUGCGAAAGCGUGGGGAGCAAACAGGAUUAGAUAUCCUGGUAGUCCACGCCGUAAACGAUGUCGACUUGGAGGUUGUGCCCUUGAGGCGUGGCUUCCGGAGCUAACGCGUUAAGUCGACCGCCUGGGGAGUACGGCCGCAAGGUUAAAACUCAAAUGAAUUGACGGGGGCCCGCACAAGCGGUGGAGCAUGUGGUUUAAUUCGAUGCAACGCGAAGAACCUUACCUGGUCUUGACAUCCACGGAAGUUUUCAGAGAUGAGAAUGUGCCUUCGGGAACCGUGAGACAGGUGCUGCAUGGCUGUCGUCAGCUCGUGUUGUGAAAUGUUGGGUUAAGUCCCGCAACGAGCGCAACCCUUAUCCUUUGUUGCCAGCGGUCCGGCCGGGAACUCAAAGGAGACUGCCAGUGAUAAACUGGAGGAAGGUGGGGAUGACGUCAAGUCAUCAUGGCCCUUACGACCAGGGCUACACACGUGCUACAAUGGCGCAUACAAAGAGAAGCGACCUCGCGAGAGCAAGCGGACCUCAUAAAGUGCGUCGUAGUCCGGAUUGGAGUCUGCAACUCGACUCCAUGAAGUCGGAAUCGCUAGUAAUCGUGGAUCAGAAUGCCACGGUGAAUACGUUCCCGGGCCUUGUACACACCGCCCGUCACACCAUGGGAGUGGGUUGCAAAAGAAGUAGGUAGCUUAACCUUCGGGAGGGCGCUUACCACUUUGUGAUUCAUGACUGGGGUG
rnacentral:rRNA from 1 species